rnacentral:rRNA from 1 species
GGGGAAUAUUGGACAAUGGGCGAAAGCCUGAUCCAGCCAUGCCGCGUGAGUGAAGAAGGCCUUAGGGUUGUAAAGCUCUUUCGCCGACGAAGAUAAUGACGGUAGUCGGAGAAGAAGCCCCGGCUAACUUCGUGCCAGCAGCCGCGGUAAUACGAAGGGGGCUAGCGUUGCUCGGAAUCACUGGGCGUAAAGCGCACGUAGGCGGAUUGUUAAGUCGGGGGUGAAAGCCCGGAGCUCAACUCCGGAACUGCCUCCGAUACUGGCGAUCUUGAGUUCGGGAGAGGUGAGUGGAACUGCGAGUGUAGAGGUGAAAUUCGUAGAUAUUCGCAAGAACACCAGUGGCGAAGGCGGCUCACUGGCCCGAUACUGACGCUGAGGUGCGAAAGCGUGGGGAGCAAAC